CGGGGGAGGCCGGAUCCUGGGCUGUGUCCCGGCGCCCUGUGCUCCGGGGCCUGUGCUGGUGGAUUCGCGCUCCCGCCCCGCAGCCCCCU
rnacentral:pre_miRNA from 1 species